rnacentral:rRNA from 1 species
GAUGAACGCUGGCGGCGUGCCUAAUACAUGCAAGUCGAGCGAACAGACGAGGAGCUUGCUCCUCUGACGUUAGCGGCGGACGGGUGAGUAACACGUGGAUAACCUACCUAUAAGACUGGGAUAACUUCGGGAAACCGGAGCUAAUACCGGAUAAUAUAUUGAACCGCAUGGUUCAAUAGUGAAAGACGGUUUUGCUGUCACUUAUAGAUGGAUCCGCGCCGCAUUAGCUAGUUGGUAAGGUAACGGCUUACCAAGGCAACGAUGCGUAGCCGACCUGAACGGGAGAUCGGCCACACUGGAACUGAGACACGGUCCAGACUCCUACGGGAGGAAGCAGUAGGGACUCUUCCGCAAUGGGGGAAAGCCUGACGGAGCAACGCCGCGUGAGUGAUGAAGGUCUUCGGAUCGUAGAACUCUGUUAUUAGGGAAGAACAAAUAUGUAAGUAACUAUGCACGUCUUGACGGUACCUAAUCAGAAAGCCACGGCUAACUACGUG